rnacentral:rRNA from 1 species
GUCUACGGCCAUGCCACCCUGAAGGUGCCUAAUCUCGUCUGAGCUUGGAAGCUAAGCAGGGUCGGGCCUGGUUAGUACUUAGAUGGGAGACCAUCUUGGAAUAGCAGGUGCUGUAGGCG